UGCUUCCAAUUGGAUACUUUUUUUCGGUCUGCGAGCGAGGGAGCACGGGAGCUACGGGUGACGGCGAGAAGAGGCGGGGUUGGGGUUGGGGCGGCGGCGGAGUUAGGGUGGCGGCAGCCGGAGGAGGAGGAGAUCGCGGCGGCGAGGUCGGGGAGUGGAAGAGUCGGACCUAGGCACGCUGUUCCACACCCCGAUACCCUCUCUUCCGAGGUAUAGCGCGCUGUUCCACUCCCCCGCGGGUCUAGGCGUCGCCGUGGUGACGCGGGAGUAGGAGGACCGGGAGCUCCAGCCGGUACCUCCAGACCGGGCCGGUUACCUACCUACCCCUACUUUGGGAUCGGGUUGUGGGUGGGUACCUACCUACCCCUACCCCGCUGCUGCCGCUGCUGCCGGAAGAGAGCCACGAACGACUACACCACCUGUAGCUGCAGCCACUGCCCAACGUCGUGCAUCUGUAGUUUCCGACGCCCACACUGCCUCCUCGUGGUACCGCCCGCACGUCUGGUACCGAGCGAUACCUUCCGGGAAGGGAGGGGAGAGAGACAAGCCCGGUACGAGUCCGUCAGAAAAGAGAAGAGAAGGGCGUUUUUUCAGAAAAGAGAAGUACUAGACUUGUACAACCUCCGGUAAUAAAGAGGAGACGGUAUGAAACGACGACGACGGUACAAUUGACUCUCAACCAUCGGUUAUAGUUCACUAAACCUUAAAAACAACUAGACUUGGUAUUAAAUUACUAUAACAAGUUGUACCGAGAACUAUCAAAUUACUAAGUUAGUUUAAAGUAACGUUUCAUAUGACCUGGUCCGAAAGGAAGAAAGAUUACGCCACAAUCAACCGUAAUUCAACACUUUAGGUUUAGGUAUGUAAAUGUCAAGAACAACAAGAUUAAUGUGUUCAUAAAAGUGUAAAAAACAAUUGAUUAGAAGUGUGGCUUGAGGUAGAGUCAUUGGUCUGGACUAUAUCAUCAAUCAAAACCGUAAUCUGUGUUGUUGAAACUGUAACUAUUAAAGGAGUAUAUAAAUCAUCCUGUUAUUUGAACAGAUCGUAAAGUAAUACUCAACGUCCGAGACUUUUAUUUACAUACACGGGGGAUUUACUAAUUUGCACACCAAAAACUUAAUACGUACGACUGUUAGUAAUAAGUUGUUAUAAGGAAAAGUGACUUUAUAUUGGUACAUUACGAAUGCUAAAUUAGACCAAUAGAUGUGUUGAUUUACCCAAUUACAAUACGAAUGAUAGAAAACCGUAUACAUUACGCACCUUCCUUUGGUCACAGAAAACUAUCCCUAAAGAUCUCCAUUGUACGGAGACUGACAUACGUGAUUUAAAUUCUGCGAAACAAAUCUUCUACGAAAGAAGUCAUCAUGAUGUAUAAAAAUACUAAAGGACAUUGAACGACUAUACCGUGGCUAAACGGCGUACCACACGAUGUUGAUGUGAGGUCCCCUUAUAAACAAGUCUUAGAAGUCAGAACAUUAAAAGAUGAACUACUGGACGAGCGGCGCUGGCGGGUUUGGGGUCCGGUGUGAAGGAGAAGGUGAGGCGCAUGAGGACCAACAUCGGGGUCGAGCGGUGUCCGUCCCUAGCCGCCGAGCGACCGCACCGCGCACCGUCCCUCUCUUCCCCCCGUUCUAGCCGCUCCGUCUCAAGAAGGCCUUCCUGCCGCACCACCCGCUGUACCUGCCUAUGGAGUUGAUGGACAGGGAGCUCAUACUGAAGCAGAGCCUGUGGUUAGGAUGAACCCAUAGAAGUUCCAGAUACGAGGUUUAUAUUUAUUCUAAACCAGGCGGCUCGGGAAGUAACCGCAGGAGGACCCUGUGGAGGUACAUCGUGGUUCCCCUUAUAAACAAGUCUUAGAAGUCAGAACAUUAAAAGAGGAACUACUGUUACUGGUACAACACGACCCCCUAAACCCUAAGGUAGGAACGGCAUACCUGAAGGCGACGGUUUAGGUCUAGAAUAGGUUUCUGUACCCUGAGGUUUAAUGUACGGGGUCUUGUAACCGCUGGUUUGUAGUCUCCGGGUUAAUCAAUGAUAUGACUGAGUAACCCCAAAGCGAACCUCGUAAGAACUCUACAAGUCACCACAAGUCUGAACCACACGGUUUAGUGGUCUACUCUAAAUAGUCAGUCAACAGGAUGUCUUUCUCUUUGGCUACAAGGACAUGUUAAAUGGAUACCUCCAGCGAUUACAGGAGAGACCGACGAUACUCAUACUGAAAGCCCUAGUGAGGAACUACAAUCUAUAGAAUGUUAGUAAACUUUCCAACCUCCACUGUGUACUUGCGACCGUUACGUUUUAUCGUCUAUAUUUUAUUGACGUCGAGUCCGGUACAUCAAGAUGUUGUUGGUUCCUUCUUCAGACAAAAAUUCGGCUGGAGCCGGUUCGUAAAUUCGAAUAUACCCACGAGAGAUAAAAAGUCUCAACGCACAUGACUCUUGCGGGUACUAAAUCCCGGUUUUUAGAUCUGUUUCACUGUUUUGACUUUAUGCUCUGAAUGAACUUCGGUCACUAUCGGGUAACUUCCUACGGCUAACACCGAUAGGUUGAUGUUGUUACACGAACGUUGAGUACUCACCGUUUCAUAUUGUACGGAGGAAAUAAUUUCUUCGGGGAAGUUAAAUACAUACGUCUUACGACACUUCCUGAGCACUGUUUCGAUCUAGACAUACGUACAGAAUUACAUAAAAGUAUGAUCGAACUCAUUACAUGAGAACGGGCGGCGUGCCGUGGUGGAAACAUCACAUAAGAACCAGCGAACAACGAGUUAAUCCAAUAAGAUAAAGGAAAAAGAAAAAUAAGUGUUAACAACGGUACUUACACGGCACGUAAACCAGGAUAGUUGUUAAAUUUGGACAGUUAACUCUUUCCUAUACGUGUAGUAGUCACGUGAAGAUAAAUAAAACUCAUAUUUACUCAUCAAUUAAACGAUUAAUUUUAACAAAAGGACACCCAUAUAAGUAGAGUAAUCUUCCAAGAAAAUACGCUGAAA
rnacentral:rRNA from 1 species